CAGAGACCAUUCCGCCGCUGCAUGUGCCUUCUCCGGCCGUUGUGAAAAGCCGAGCGUCGCCGCGCCGCUUCCCCCGUUCUCCGCCGUCUCCGCCAUGGCCGGAAUCGUGGUGGAUGGCCGAGCCUUGCCUCGCCGUGAAGAACCGCCGUUCGUGUCGCUGCGCCGCUGCUUCCGCCGCGUCGCCGGAAAAGAUAAGUCUCUCCCCCUUUUCUCUCUUUUAUUUUUUUUUUAUUUUAAACUGAAAUCCUAACCAAUUCUCUCUCUACCCUCUUCUCUCCCAUUUUGGCAGGACAAGGAAAAGGCGGCUCGGCGGCACCGUUGCCGUCGCCGGCCCUGAGCAGCCGCCGGCUGUCUCACUCCCUCCCCUGACUCGGACACACAAGGACGGGAGACUCAUCCCCCCAAAUUCCAGUCACACGCACAAAAGCAAAAUUAGGGUUUUAUUAAUCUGUUCUUUCAAUCAUUCAUUUCCUUUUUAUUAAAACUGAUUGUACAUGUAAUAGAUUAGAGACUAUAGUAAAAUGUGUGCGUGUGUAUUAUUCUGUUGGUGGUUCUCUGAUGGUGAUAAGCUGAUGUAAUUGAAACAAUAAUAGUCUAAAAGAAGUGGUAAUGGAUGCGUGUGUUCGAUCUGUUUUCA